GUUGUAAAACAUGAUGUAAAAAAUUUCCAAUAAUAAUUCAGGACAAUCCUGUUUAAAAACUAUAUUUAUGUUAAUAUUAAUAGUGCCAUUUUCAAUGACAAUCAUUGUAAAGGUGAGAUUAUAUAUAUACGACACAACUCUUUUAUUGGUUCAUGUGUACAUUGAUCACGUACGUGAUAUUUUUUAUUUCUAUUGUGAUUUAUGACCCUUCCGUGUAAGAAUAAAAAAAAUAAAAGAUUGAAGGUAUUU
rnacentral:misc_RNA from 1 species